GACGAACGCUGGCGGCGUGGAUUAGGCAUGCAAGUCGAACGGUAUCAUCCUUUCGGGGGUGAGAGAGUGGCGAACUGGUGAGUAACACGUAGGUUAUCUACCCUCAAGACGGGGACAACCCAGGGAAACUUGGGCUAAUACCGGAUGUGAGCAACUUUUAGUUGUUUGAAAGGUGGCGUAAGCUGUCGCUUGGGGAUGAGCCUGCGUCCUAUUAGUUAGUUGGUGAGGUAACGGCUCACCUAGGCAAUGAUAGGUAGGCGGCCUUAACGGGUGGUCGCCCACACUGGGAUUGAGAUACGGCCCAGACUCCUACGGGAGGCAGCAGUCGAGAAUAGUCUACAAUGGUCGGAAGACUGAUAGUGCGACGCCGCGUGAACGAUGAAUCCCUUCGGGGUGUAAAGUUCUUUUAUAUGUGAGCAGUGCUUUCUUAUAUUAAACAGUAUGGGGAGAGAGAUAUUAGCAUAUGAAUAAGCAACGGCUAACUCCGUGCCAGCAGCCGCGGUAAA
rnacentral:rRNA from 1 species